AAACAAUGGAAGACAUAGGCAUUUCCGGCUGCAAAGAAAGUAACCUUUCCAUCGAUUGAUGGCAAGACACUAAUCCGUUGAUUGCAUAUAAUAUAUAUGUAUAUGUAUAGCCGGUGCUAUAAUUCUCAUAUGCAUCCUCCUCGACCUACAUUGGUAGGUGCUUACAUACAUAUGCUCGUAUAUUCACAUAUGAGUAGAACGAGAAGUAAAACUGAGAAAGCAGAGCCGCCGACAAAUGUGACUAACAUGACAUGUAUAUCAGUUACUUCAACUUGCACUUUAGGCCUUGCCGGAUUCCUCGCAGCCUGGUGGCCUGAAGGCAAUGAAGCUGACGCAUUGCACCUGGCGCAUGUUGUCGAAGCCGAUGACGCGGACAUAUGCAUCAGGGUACUCCUUCUUAACCUCCUCCACCUCAUUGAGCACCUGUGUGGCGUCGGUGCAACCGAACAUAGGCAGUUUCCACAUUGUCCAGUAUCGACCGUCAUAGUACCCGGGGGAGCUGUUGUGCUCACGGAAGACGAAGCCAACCUUGCUGAACUCGAGGCAGGGCACCCACUUGGAGCGGAUCAAGUAGUCGACCUGCUUCAGGAGGGCCUCCGUGGAGAGGGGAGGCAAGUAAGACAGGGUCUCGAACUUCUUGAUGCCCUCAAUUGGCCACACCUGAAUAGAUGGAAUGAACACAAUUGAUCAACACUUAGUGCUUUAAGAAAGACCUAGCCAUAAGGCAAAAAUUACUCCUGAUGGUCUGUCCAUACAUUGCGGGGGGUCUCCACAAGCAAGAAAGCUCAAGGGCAGCUCUUGCUUAUGGGUAGUGUACGGGCAUUAAAAAUGAUAUUAUCUAGUACACAUUGCAAUAAAAACGAUUCCAUUCACAAAGUUUAUGAGUUAAAUAUUCCUACACAUGUGAACCUGCUUACGGACUACAUUGUGAGGUUUAGUUUGGCCUGGUAUGUGGGUUACACGUCCUAAGGAUAGCUUUGCCUAUGUGCAGUGGAAAUACCCGAUAAAUUAAUCAAUUGUGCCGACAAAAACAUUCUUGACAGCUUAGUGUCCGUAAUCCUUCGCCAAAAAAAUUCAAAAAAGAGCAUAUCCUCAGCCUCUGCAUCAAGCGAUGCACACUGUCAUUUUUAUUAUAUUAUUCAACAGAGUUUAACAUAAGAAAUACGAUUUUAAAUCAAAGCCAUCUUCGAGAUGGACAAAAUUGUUACACCUACAAAUACGAUGAUGUGCCUUGACCACGCCAUCCAUCGCAAAAAUAAUAAUUAGUUUUCGUACCUGCAUGCAUCUGAUCCUUCCGCCAUUGCUGACGCUGCUGAGGCCGGCGCUGCCGGAGCGGCGGCUGACGGGGAGGCCCGCGGUCGACUUGAGCCCCUGGAAGGGCGCGACGGUGGUGGCGGAAGAAGCCAUCACGGCUGGGGCCAUGGCGGAGUACGUAAAUUGCUAGGUGGGGAAGCGAUAGCUAGCUAGGCCACACUUGACUUGAGCCCUCCUCAUGACGCUCCAGUAUAUAUCACCAUAUGCGCAGCGCCGCUCCUUCCCAACAAGAUUUCCAAGGGGUCGUCGUCGUUUGCCUGUUGCAAGGCGCCUUAUCCCUCUGGAUCAGCGGAAGAGGGGUGGCCCUCCGAUGCAUUGCGUGCGUGUGACUGCUGUACAAACAAUACAAUAAUUUUUGGAUCGUUAGAUUAGCACCUGCCUCUCUCUCCCAUAAUCUGCCGUAGUUUUCAUCUAAGGCUCCCACUAAUUUUUUGAUUUACUUUGUUUCCAGAAAGUUACUGCUCCUGGAAAUUACUCCUCAAAUAUUUGUGUCGAGGUAAUUGCACCGGUGGCGCUUGAACUUGCCAUCGAUGUUCACUUUAAUGUCUGAACUUCAAAAUUCGUCGAACUGGUAAUAGUACAUGGCACUUUUGUUCAAAUAUGGUUCAAACCAUGUUCGGAUACGUAUGUGUUGUUGACUAGGCAUGCCAGCAUGGCGCGGGGCCCACUUGCAGUGUCGGGACAAGCUCACUUGCAAAGUAUACACUCUAUGACAAUCGGGUCCCACCUGUCAGACAGGGGUGGACACAGGAUUGGGCUUAGCCCCGGGCCCUAAGCUGGCUACAGUGCGCCUACAGUGAUGCUACAGUGCCCAUCAUGCUAUACUGAACGCAGUGUGCAGUCCUCACACCCAGGGCCCAGGCCCCCCGGCCUGGGUUCUGGAUCCGCCACUGCUGUCAGGGCACAACAGCAAAAAAAACUAGCCAUGGUUGUCAAGGCUCACUAGUAGAAAACAUACCUUUGAUCCGGAGAAUUAGUUCCGGCCGGGUAUGGACCCGGAACAAUGUGAGCAUUAGUCUCGGUUCCAACGGCUAGGAGCGGACGGGAGGCACAGCAGGCUGGGGCCCCCGCGAGCCCUUUUAGUCCCGAUUGGUAUCACCAACCGAGACUAAAGAUAUCCCUAUAUAUAGAUGUUUCGUUCAGCCCGAGUCCAAGCUUUAUCCUUCCUCUCCUCUCUGUUUCCUUCCCCUAGCUCCAGCUCAUCCUCCAUUUUUGCCAAGAUUUGUCAAGAUUUCAGGCACCCCAUCUAUCCAAGGGUUCUAAAAGGUUAGCAACUUCAUCCUUUCAUCUUUCAUUGCUAGUUUAGCUCGUUUCAUGCUCUAUAAGUAUUGUGAUUUGUGGGUUUAGUUUCGGAGUAAUUAUGUGGGAGAUUAUUUGAUUUAUAUGCAAUUUGAGCUCAAAUUAACUUCUUAGUUUGCAUAUGGUGUAGGUGUGGUUUACUUAGUGCCUUCCCGUCCCCUUACUCACCGUCGUCGAUCGCCCGCGCCAUCCCGUCACCAGCACCACCUUGGUGAGCCUCUUGUUCUUAUCCUUUUUGUAAAAAAAAAUCUUAUUUGUAUGAUUUAGAUAGUUACUUGUAUAAUUUUCUUACUUGUAUGAUUGUUUGUUAUAUAUAGUGUCAUGGUUUUGAUAUCCGUCCCCGUCGGCCCUCGUCCGGUUUAUGAUUCGGAUGUGGUAUAUUAUCUUUUAUAACUAUUUAUUUUAUUUCGUGUUUAUGACAAUUAUGCCCAUCAAGUUGACAUAUAUAUUUUUAUCUAGGAGGUAUGUGAACUGUAAAUUGCAACCGACCCUCUUGUUAAGAAGUUAAAUUUAGUUUAAAAAGAAAACGAUUAUUUGAAACAAAACUUGAAAAGAAUUAAAGAAGAGAAGAUGAAAUUGGAGUUGUAUAUUGUUGAUGUCAUCGAUGAUCACAAGAUCAAGAUGGAUGCAAUGCGCUUGAAGAUUAAAAAGAUUAGAAAAUAUGUCGUUAAUAAAGAGCCUUGGUAUCAUUAUGUUGUCGGAUCAAUUAUUACCUUAGUUGCGAUUUUGAUCGCAUUUGUUGUUGCAUUUAAAUGCUUUAGCUAGAUAGUUGUAUGUCGUUUUAUGAGAAGUAUGUAUGAACUUUAUGUAUGAACUUGUAUUAAUUUGGUCACUUCGAUGUUGUGUAAUGAAGAUGAGUCGGCAAUGGAUGUAUGAUGACCAACGCUCUCGUGAGUUCAUUAAUGGCGUGCAUAGUUUUCUGCGUGUGGCUGAGGCAAACAAGCGGAAUGGUUUUAUGUGUUGUCCAUGUGGUGUCUGUAAGAAUGAUAGGGAUUACUCUACCUCAAAAAUCCUUCACAGCCACCUACUUCAGUCCAGAUUCAUGUCUGGCUAUAACUGUUGGACCAAGCACGGAGAAAGAGGAGUUAUAAUGGAAGACAAUGAAGAAGAAGAGGAUGAUGACAACUAUCCUAGGUUCCCUGAAUGUGAUGGUAUGGGGGAAGCUGAAGAAGAGGCAUCAGAUGUGCCCGCUGAUGAUCUUGGUCGGGCCAUUGCUGAUGCAAAGAGAAACUACGAAAGUGAAAAGGAGAGGUUGAAGUUGGAGCGCAUGUUAGAGGAUCACAAAAAAUUGGUAUACCCAAAUUGUGAAGAUGACAAGAAAAAGUUGCAUACCACACUGGAAUUGCUGCAAUGGAAGGCAGAAAAUGGUGUAUCUUGCAAGGUAUUCGAAAAGUUGUUGAAAAUGUUAAAGAAGAUGCUACCAAAGGAUAACGAAUUGCCUGACAGUACGUACGGAGCAAAGAGGGUUGUCUACCCUCUAGGAUUAGAGGUGCAGAAGAUACAUGCAUGCCCUAAUGACUGCAUCCUCUACCGCGGUGAGGACUAUGAGAAUUUGAAUGCAUGCCUGGUAUGUGGUGCAUUGCGCUAUAAGAUUAGCCAUGAUGACCCUAAACAAAGAGCAUGCAAAGUUGUUGCGAUGGCACAAAGAAGACCGUAAGAAAGACGGGAUGUUGAGAGUACCCGUUGAUAGGUUGCAGUGGAGAAAAAUUGAGAGAAAGUGGAUGGAGUUUGCAGAUGACACAAGGAACUUAUGGUUUAGUAUAAGUACAGAUGGCACCAAUCCUUUUGGGGAGUAGAGCAGUAGUCAUAGCACCUGGCAUGUGACUCUAUGUAUCUAUAACCUUCCUCCUCGAUUGUGCAUGAAGCGGAUGUUCAUUAUGAUGUUAGUUCUCAUCCAAGGCCCUAAGCAACCCGGCAACGACAUUGAUGUGUACCUAAGGCCAUUAGUUGAAGAACUUUUACAGUUGUGGGAUAUAAAAGAUGUACGUGUGUGGGAUGAGCACAAACAGGAGGAAUUUGACCUACGAGCGUUGUUGUUUGUAAUGAUCAAUGAUUGGCAUGCUUUUAGUAACCUUUCAGGACAGACAAACAAGGGAUACAAUGUAUGCAUGCACUGUUUAGAUGAGACUGGAAGUAUAUAUUUGGAUAAAUGUAAGAAGAAUGUGUACCUGGGACAUCGUCGAUUUCUUCUGAUCGGGCAUCUCUUAAGAAAGAAAGGCAAGCAUUUCAAAGGUGAGGCGGAUCACCAGAAGAAGCCUGACCACCGUACUGGUGAUGAUAUAUUUGAUAUCGUCAAGGAUUUAAAAGUAAUCUUUGGAAAGGGUCAUGGCGGACAAUCUGUUUCGAAUGACGCUAACGGACACACACCCAUGUGGAAGAAGAAAUCUAUAUUUUGGGACCUACCCUACUGGAAAGUCCUAGAGGUCCGCUCUGCAAUCGACGUGAUUCACGUGACGAAGAAUCUUUGCGUGAACCAGAAGAUAAAAGAUACACCGGAGGCAUGGGAGGACCUGCAACGUAUGAACGAAAAAGAAGGCAUGCAUCCAAAGCAGUAUCAAGGUCCUGCCAGCUACACUCUUACCAAAGAAGAGAAGGAAAUCUAUUUUGAAUGCCUGAGCAGUAUGAAGGUCCCGUCUGGCUUCUCUUCGAAUAUAAAGGGAACAAUAAAUAUGGCAGAGAAAAAAUUCCAAAACCUAAAGUCUCAUGACUGCCACAUGAUUAUGAUGCAAUUACUUUCGGUUGCAUUGAGGGAGCUUCUACCGGAAAAUGUUCGAUUAGCCAUUGUGAAGUAUGUGCAUUCCUCAAUGCAAUUUCUCGGAAGAUAAUCGAUCCAGAAAUCAUACCAAGGUUACAGAAUGAUUUGGUCCAAUGUCUUGUUAGUUUUGAGUUGGUGUUCCCACCAUCCUUCUUCAAUAUUAUGACGCACGUCCUAGUUCACCUAGUCGAAGAGAUUACCAUUCUGGGUCCUGUAUUUCUACACAAUAUGUUCCCUUUGAGAUGUUCAUGGGAGUCUUAAAAAAUUAUGUUCAUAACCAUGCUAGGCCAGAAGGAAGCGUCUCCAAGGGCCAUGAAACAAAGGAGGUUAUUGAGUUUUGUGUUAACUUUAUUCCUGACCUUAAGCCGAUUGGUGUUUCUCAAUCGCGACAUGAGGGGAGACUGAGUGGAAAAGGCACGCUAGGAAAGGAUUCAGUAAUAAGUAUGGACGGGCAUUCUUUCACUCAAGCGCUCUACAUAGUUCUACAAAAUUCUACCUUGAUGGCUCCGUAUAUCGAGGAACACAUGGAUAUUGUACGCUCCAAGAACCCGGAGCAGUCUGACCCCUGGAUUAAACGUACACACAUGGCAACUUUCGGCUAUUGGUUGCAAACACAUCUCAUGAAUAACACCACUAUUGGAGAUGAGAUGUACUUGCUGGCCAAGUCAACAUCUUCGACUAUAUUGACUUUCAAAGGGUACGGGAUAAAUGGGAAUACAUUUUACACGAUCGCCCAAGAUAAAACGAGCACCAACCAAAUAGUGGUGUCCGCUUUGAUGCAACAAACAACAAUAGGAAAAAGGACACAUAUUAUGGUUACAUAGAGGAGAUAUGGGAAAUUGACUAUGGACCUUCUUUUAAGGUCCCUUUGUUUCGGUGCAAAUGGGUCAAUCUGACAGGAGGCGAGGUAAAGGUAGACCCGCAGUAUGGAAUGACAACAGUGGAUCUCAACAAUCUUGGGUACACAAACGAACCAUUCGUCCUAGCCAAUUUUGUGGCACAGGUUUUCUAUGUGAAGGACAUAUCUACCAAACCGAGAAAAAGAAAAGAUAAGGAAGUGAAUACAUCAUACGAUGAGCAAAAGAGCCACAUAGUUCUUUCAGGGAAAAGAAACAUCGUGGGAGUGGAGGACAAGACAAACAUGUCAGAAGAUUAUGAAAAGUUUGAUGAAAUUCCUCCCUUCACAGUGAAGACUGGCCCAAGCAUCAUGUUAAAUGAUGAAGAUUCUCCAUGGUUACGGCGCAAUCAUAAGCAAGGGACACACGUGAAGAAAAAAAUUUAUACCCCAAGAUCCCACUCUAGGAUGUAACCGGCUUCACCGUCAUCACUUUCUCUCUAGUGAAUUUCCGGACUUAUAUUUGUAAAGUCUCACUUCGGACAAACCGGAGGGAAUCUUUGUAAGAGUUAGGGUAUAUAUGUGUUUUGGGUGUUCCUAGGUGGACUCCGGAGCAUCAGAAUCCAACCAAAAAGCUAGGGCAUUUUGGCAUUUGAAACAUGAUUUUGGAAUAAUUAUUUAAUAAGUUAUGAAUUUUCAAUUAUUCAUGUCCUAUUAGUAUUUAAAUUAUACAGAGGAGUUAAUCAAUGCAAUUAUUAAGCUAUGGAAGAGAGAGAGUUACUGGAGGUAGAAUAUGACUAGGGUGAGCUCUAGUAAAAAUUUGAGCUAAAGGAGAAUCCAUUUGGUACCCCAAUCAUUGACCGCAAGAUUUUGGCAGAAGGUGUUUGAUGAUGAAUAGAGGUACUUAGAGUAAUCCAAUGGCUUUGGAAUUUAAUAAGAAUGACCUUGGUAUCCAUUUGAGCUAGGGUGCAAAUUUGUAGCUCAUUUAAAGAAACUUGGCAAUGUAAAUAUUUCAAACCCUAGCACCGGGACUAAAUGGUUUUGACAAGCUUUGAUCAAGUUAACUUGUUCUCCAACUUGUGCCAUUUGAUGGGGGUGAUGCUCAUGACCAUCUGGCAAUGUGGUAAAAAUUUGAGAUCAAUGGGAGAAAGUUGCGAUGUAACUUUGUCAAACCCUAGAAAUGGGCAGAAUUGGUUUUGGCAUACUUUGACCAAUCUAAUUUAUUCUCCUUGAUGCACCACUUGGCCUAGAUGAAUAUUUAGACCAUUUUAGCAAUUGUACCAAGUUUGAGCUCAUUCAGACAUGUUUAGCAAUGUAAAGUUGCUCAAACUAGAAAAUGUACAGAGAUGGAUUUGAGGGAAUUUGAUGAUGUUAUCUUAUUCUCCAAGACAUGAUACUUAUAAAGAUCAUCAAAUAUAGUAUUAGUGACAUGCUACCAUUUUCUUGGAUUUAUGGUGAAUAUUUCCUUUGUAAAUAUUUCAAGAAUUAAUUUCAAUCUGUAAAGUUGUAUCUGUCAAAUAAUUUCUUCAAAAUGAAAAUUAAAACUCCUCAUGUUGACUAACAGACACAUAAUAUAAUUUGGCAAAAGAAUAACACGAAAACAUAAACUAAAACAAUUAAAACAAAUGAAAAGGUAUAAAACUAAAGGAGCUAAACCGGAUAUGUUUUUGAUUAAAAUACCUAUUUAAAAUAUCCUAAAGAUUAUCAAAUUGAACAUACUGAUAAAACACACUAAUAUUAAACAGCAGGAAAAAGAAUCACUCAAAAAUCUAUUUUAAAACUAAAGUUAAUCACAAACUAGUGAUUGACACAAAUUUCAAAGAAUUCAGCACGUAGUACAAACUAUAUUGAGUUGGCUUUAGAUAUGGCUGGUUGUGUUGGGUGCAUAAGCAUUGGGUUCUCAAAGAGAAUUCAGUGAUAUAAAUAAGUUUUAUGGCAUCAAUUUAAUUUAUUUUAUAAUGAUUGUUUUAGGUCAUCAAACAUAACCGAAUAAUCUUAAGAAAGUGUUAUGGAAUCCCUUCUAACUAUGUAACUAUUACAUGUGAAGUGAAAUGCAAGAAAAAGAUAUAAGAACAAUAUUAUUAUUUUUGAAUAAUUUAGAUGCAAGCAAUAUAUGGAGGAGGUACAUUGAUAAAUCAUAGCUAGAGUUGCAUAAUGUAAAUUUUUGCACAACUGUGCUUCUAAACCACAUCGUAAAAACAAGUGUUUGCAAGAACCAUAUCUGAAAAGGUAUAAGUUCAAUAAAAAGGGAAUAAUAAUAAUUGCCCGCACCUAGUUCAUAGCAAUGAAUAAAAUCCUUCCUAAUUAAACACCAACACAAUAUAUGGAAGAAGCAUAAAGAACAUGUAGAAGGUACAUUUUCCUGUCAAUAGAGCUUUAGAAUUAACUUUAAUGAAACAUUCAUGUUUUCAGAAGAGUGUGAUGUGCAUAUAUCUGCCCAUGAAAAACAAGAAGUUUCGUAGAAAAAUUGACCAUCUUUCAAGAAAAACACUACUUUUAUGAGAGCAUUCUGGCAUGCAAAAUUGGUUUUCUUGUAAAUGAUAACUAGAAAGUUCUAAAACUCCAGGUCAUUCUCUAGCGGCACUACUUUCAGUUUUCCAUUCCAAUUGGAUCCACAACAACAUUGAUCCGAAUUUUGUAGGAACACUUAUAUUGUUGAAUUGAACUUGAUAUCAAAUCAGUGUUUAGUUUAUAAAUAAUCUCUAUAAGUGAUACAUCUUUCAGUAUAAAUACAUUUUUCUCAAGACUACUUGGUGAAAAAAUAGCAGACACCAAAUGAAAUGUAUAAUUUUGUCAUUGGAAAAUCAAAAUGAAUGCCACGGGAAGACCCCCAAACUGUAAUAUUAAGAUCACCAUUGACUAUCCAAAUCUAAGGCUACCGCAUUCAUUAUAAAUAAAUUCUUUUCCAUGAAACUAAACCAUGCCAAGACUAAAAUUCAUGAAGGAAAGUCAUCCAUAGUAUUAUGUUUCAUUAUAUGAUACGCUAGUUAUUUCGUCAUUUAAAGUGAUGAUAUGGCUCCAUCGUGGUAUUAGAUGUGGCCUUUCCUAUGACGAUGUGGUAUCAUCAUUUUUUCUAAUCUAAUAAAAAGUCUUACAUAUUGGUCUCACAAUCCGAAAACUCUCCUUUGCACGCGCGCGUUGGACGGGUGAAGCGCUCCGCACAAGAAAUCAGGUUCCGACCACGCGCUAUAUUCCUUUCCAAACUUUGGCGUGCCAUUUAACUGAGAAUGGUAGCCCCACAUAGUAUAGCAGCCCACUGCCAUGGAACUAAAUGUGUUGGGCUCACCCCACCUGUUACGCGCAUUCACGGAAGGGCUAGUUGUGGUGGCAUCAUGGUUUUCACUUUCAGUGAGAUGUCUUUGAUUUCACUGAAUUUCAGGAAUUCAAUAGACACGAAAAUAUUUACCUUUCGUUCAGAAUAUUUCAGUCAUUUCAGUUGUACACGUGAAAUCAAAUAUUUUUCAAGAUAUUUUCAAAUAUGUUUUUGAAUUUCAAGUGAAUAUUUUGGUCUUUUGGCCAAAUGCAAACCGAAAUUAAAGAAUUUUAGUAAUUUUGGUAGGUACUGAAACAACAAUAGGGUUUUUGCCUGAAUAUGAAUUUUGUCAUGAAACAUAUAGGGUUUUUGCCUCCUAGGUAGGUUUUAUAGCAAAAUUGAUAUUUUCGUCAUGGAAGGACCUAUGUUUAUGACACAAACACAAAACAUCACAGAUAAUUCUUCGUAGAAGGCCAAAACUUUACUAGUAGAAGAUAUCUUGGGACUCGUCAAUUGGGUAUGUAAUUUGCACAUAUUUGUGUCCCUCUACACGUUCUCUGGUUUACUGGAAUUUCUGUAAUACUGCAAGAAAAAGUAUCUAAUUGCGGUGUAAAAUGGUUAGAAAAGGUGACAUGUCUUUGAUGAAUCGAUGUUGGAAUAUGGCUCACAAGACAAGUGCACUAUGGUAGGUUUGUCCUUGUCUUGUUUUGACACCUUUUGCUUGUCCUUUUUCCUAGUUUUUAAUUUGGAUUUUGGCAUUUUAUCAUCUGGUUCUCGUCAAUUUCCUACUGUGUUGCCACUAGUUUUCAAGGGGUUCUCACCAUCUUUUUAUGUGUUUCUCCACAAUAUAUUCUUAAGUACUUUGGUAUUCCAUAACAAUUUUCGCACUAGAUAGUACACAACAUAUGAUUGAGCAAAAAAUGCAUGAGAAGAAAACAAUGCAAGACAUAGGCGUUUCCAACUGCAAACAAAGUAACAUUUCCAUCAAUUGAUGGCAAGACAAUAAUUCACGGAUUGCAUAUAAUAUAUGUGUGUAUGUAUAGCCAGUGUUGUAAUUCUCAUAUGCAUCGUCCUCGACCUACGUUGGUAGGUGCUUACAUACAUAUGCUCAUAUAUUCACAUAUGAGUAGAACGAGAAGUAAAACCGAGAAAGCAGAGCUGCCGACAAAUGUGAACUAACAUGGCAUGUAUAUGUGUUACUUCAACUUGCACUUUAG
rnacentral:lncRNA from 1 species